GGGGGCGAGCGUAAGCGGCUCUCGCUGAAGGAUGGGCCUGCGGCUGAUUAGCUAGUUGGUGGGGUAACGGCCUACCAAGGCAACGAUCAGUAGCCGACCUGAGAGGGUGACCGGCCACACUGGGACUGAGACACGGCCCAGACUCCUACGGGAGGCAGCAGUGGGGAAUAUUGCGCAAUGGGCGAAAGCCUGACGCAGCGACGCCGCGUGGGUGAUGAAGGCCUUCGGGUCGUAAAACCCUGUCGGGUGGAACGAAUCUCCGCCCCCUAAAUAGGGGGGUGGAUUGACGGUACCACCGAAGGAAGCCCCGGCUAACUACGUGCCAGCAGCCGCGGUAAUACGUAGGGGGCGAGCGUUGUUCGGAUUUACUGGGCGUAAAGAGCGCGUAGGUGGUUCGAUCAGUCGGAGGUGAAAGCCCUCGGCUCAACCGAGGAUCCGCGUCCGAUACUGUCGAACUUGAGUGCAGGAGAGGAGAGCGGAAUUCCCAGUGUAGCGGUGAAAUCGUAGAUAUUGGGAGGAACACCGGUGGCGAAGGCGGCUCUCUGGACUGCUACUGACACUGAGGCGCGAAAGCUAGGGGAGCAAACGGGAUUAGAUACCCCGGUAGUCCUAGCCGUAAACGAUGGGCACUAGGUGUGGGAGGUAUCGACCCCUUCCGUGCCGCAGCUAACGCAUUAAGUGCCCCGCCUGGGGAGUACGGCCGCAAGGUUGAAACUCAAAGGAAUUGACGGGGGCCCGCACAAGCGGUGGAGCAUGUGGUUUAAUUCGACGCAACGCGAAGAACCUUACCAGGGCUUGACAUCCCGCGAACUCCUCCGAAAGGAGGGGGUGCCCGCAAGGGAGCGCGGAGACAGGUGGUGCAUGGCUGUCGUCAGCUCGUGUCGUGAGAUGUUGGGUUAAGUCCCGCAACGAGCGCAACCCUCACCCCUUGUUGCCAUCAGGUAAUGCUGGGCACUCUAGGGGAACUGCCCCGGUCAACGGGGAGGAAGGCGGGGAUGACGUCAAGUCAUCAUGCCCCUUACGCCCUGGGCUACACACGUGCUACAAUGGCCGGUACAAAGGGAUGCAAGACCGCGAGGUGGAGCUAAACCCAAAAAGCCGGUCUAAGUUCAGAUUGGAGUCUGCAACCCGACUCCAUGAAGGAGGAAUCGCUAGUAAUCGCGCAUCAGCACGGCGCGGUGAAUACGUUCCCGGGCCUUGUACACACCGCCCGUCACACCACGAAAGCCAGUUGUACUCGAAGUCGCCGAACUAACCCGCAAGGGAG
rnacentral:rRNA from 1 species